rnacentral:rRNA from 1 species
UACAGAGGGUGCAAGCGUUGUUCGGAAUUAUUGGGCGUAAAGCGCGUGUAGGCGGCUUUGCAAGUCGGAUGUGAAAGCCCCUGGCUCAACUGGGGAAGUGCACCCGAAACUGAGUAGCUUGAGUGCAAAAGAGGGCCGCGGAAUUCCCGGUGUAGAGGUGAAAUUCGUAGAUAUCGGGAGGAACACCGGUGGCGAAGGCGGCGGCCUGGGUUGACACUGACGCUGAGGCACGAAAGUGUGGGGAUCGAACAGG